rnacentral:rRNA from 1 species
CCGAAUACAUUAGCAUGGGAUAAUGGAAUAGGACCCUGUCCUCCUAUUUUCAGUUGGUUUUGGCAGCGCGAGGACUAGGGUAAUGAUUAAUAGGGAUAGUUGGGGGCAUUAAUAUUUAAUUGUCAGAGGUGAAAUUCUUGGAUUUAUGAAAGAUUAACUUCUGCGAAAGCAUCUGCCAAGGAUGUUUUCAUUAAUCAAGAACGAAAGUUAGGGGAUCGAAGACGAUCAGAUACCGUCGUAGUCUUAACCAUAAACGAUGCCGACCAGCGAUUAGGAGACGUUGAAUACAAAACACCACCAUCGGUGCGGUCGUCCUUGGCGGUUGGUCUUCAAAAGCCAGCGGCGGGGGUGGCUUAGCCCGGUGGCACCGGUGAAUGACUCCCU